AGGAUAUACCUUUCUUCUUAUAUCAUGAUAUUAUCCUACACGUUCUAUCCUAAACGGAUUAAAAAAAGGCUUGCUACCGACAUGAUCGGACGUGUUAUUGCAUCAAUUUUGGAAAAUGUGACAGGUUUCAACGCUCAAUUAAGUUUACACUGUUAGACUUUCAUAUUCUGCAUGUUUUUUGUUACUCAUCACAUAAGCGGCGUUUUCGAUUCUGUAGGUCUGUUUUUUGUGGCUGAACUAGUGUACAUUUUUGGAACUUAAAGUGAGAUAGAUAUACGUUUGAUAUUUGUUUAAAUCGAGAAAGAGAGUUCUAGAACAGCCUAGUGCAGAAAACAGACCAUGUGUUAGAAGUUAAAGUCGGGGCCAUUCUUAGCGAAGAAGUAAGCAGGUUAAAGUUAUGUGUUAACAUUUUUUAUGCCGAUAUGGUACGAAAAUGCUCAGUCCCGGACUGUCCGGUACAUACAGGACAAAAAAUUUAUAUGCCAUAUUUUCCCAAGGAUACUAAGUAUCGUAAAAUAUGGAAAGAAAAAGUGAAUCGAGAUCCAAAUUGGUCUCCUGGCAAGACUGGAGUUCUUUGUGAAUUUUAUUUUGAACAAGAUCAAUUUGAAGAAAUGAAAGUUGAUGGGAAAAAAAAUUAAAAUCAUAUGCUGUGCCUACUAAAUUUGUAACAAGAAAGAAUCAUAGCCUAACUGAGCAUUCCCUAUCCAAUCAGUCGACAAUCUUUUAGUGAUUUGACUAAUUCAAGAAACAGACCUGAUAAUCUAAAAGAAAAUUCAAGGACAAUUCUAUAAUUAACUUACUAUAAUUAAUUGAUAAUAAUUAUUUACACCGCGCACAUACUCUUUCAUGCUA